rnacentral:rRNA from 1 species
UUCCUUGAACCGCAUGGUUCAAGGAUGAAAGACGGUUUCGGCUGUCACUUACAGAUGGACCCGCGGCGCAUUAGCUAGUUGGUGGGGUAAUGGCUCACCAAGGCGACGAUGCGUAGCCGACCUGAGAGGGUGAUCGGCCACACUGGGACUGAGACACGGCCCAGACUCCUACGGGAGGCAGCAGUAGGGAAUCUUCCGCAAUGGACGAAAGUCUGACGGAGCAACGCCGCGUGAGUGAUGAAGGUUUUCGGAUCGUAAAGCUCUGUUGUUAGGGAAGAACAAGUGCGAGAGUAACUGCUCGCACCUUGACGGUACCUAACCAGAAAGCCACGGCUAACUACGUGCCAGCAGCCGCGGUAAUACGUAGGUGGCAAGCGUUGUCCGGAAUUAUUGGGCGUAAAGGGCUCGCAGGCGGUUUCUUAAGUCUGAUGUGAAAGCCCCCGGCUCAACCGGGGAGGGUCAUUGGAAACUGGGAAACUUGAGUGCAGAAGAGGAGAGUGGAAUUCCACGUGUAGCGGUGAAAUGCGUAGAGAUGUGGAGGGACACCAGUGGCGAAGGCGACUCUCUGGUCUGUACUGACGCU